CAUAAUAUCCUCUUCCACACAUCCACCUUUAGUACCAAAAGUUAGUCUCUAGGACACACUUGGAUCUUUCCUGUGUGGCAAAUUGAGAUGAAUAAACAAAAGCUAGAAGCGGAGAAAGAGGGAAAAGUUCUAUCCCAAGGUUGUAGAGCGCUUGGAUUCACGACCGAUCAAAUGCCACAAAUGCGAUGGUGGCAGCGACAUCCAAAUCACGGCCAUGGCACCAAAAUCUGGAUCGAUUGAACCCUAGAACCUGCGAGGAGCUGAAAUCCUAUAACCAAGGGUGAAAUAGAUUGCACCCACCUCUUGGUAGAAG
rnacentral:lncRNA from 1 species